GGAAAAGCGUUGAUGAGGAAUAGUACAUUUUGACCAGAAUACAGAAAGCUGUCGGGUGAUGCGAGACAGUGGAAGGAAAGAAUGGAACUGACCUUGGAGCAGCUGCCUGAAAUCAAAGGAGAGUAGGAGCAGACGGAAGUCCACCGUUACAGGGACAGGAUAUAAGAUGCAAAUCCGUAUCCGGUGAGAGUAUGAAUGAAUUCAUAAAAUAGAGUGGUACCGCGGAAGACUUGACCUUUCGUCUCUAUG
rnacentral:ncRNA from 1 species